CCUACGGGGGGCAGCAGUGGGGAAUAUUGCACAAUGGGGGAAACCCUGAUGCAGCAACGCUGCGUGAGCGAUGAAGGCCUUCGGGUCGUAAAGCUCUGUCAUAAGGGCAGAAUAAUGACGGUACCUUAGGAGGAAGCCCCGGCUAACUACGUGCCAGCAGCCGCGGUAAUACGUAGGGGGCGAGCGUUAUCCGGAAUUACUGGGCGUAAGGGGUGCGUAGGCGGCCCACCAAGUCAGAGGUGAAAGGCGACGGCUCAAACGUAGUAAGCCUUUAAAACUGUAGGGCUUGAGUGCAGGAGAGGAGAGUGGAAUUCCCAGUGUAGCGGUGAAAUGCGUAGAUAUUGGGAGGAACAGCAGAUGCGAAGGCGGCUCUCUGGACUGUAACUGACGCUGAGGCACGAAAGCGUGGGGAGCGAACAGGAUUAGAUACCCUUGUAGUC
rnacentral:rRNA from 1 species